rnacentral:rRNA from 1 species
AUUGAACGCUAGCGGCAGGCCUAACACAUGCAAGUCGAACGAGUGGCGGGCGGGUGAGUAAUGUCUGGGAACCUGCCUGAUGGAGGGGGAUAACUACUGUAAACGGUAGCUAAUACCGCAUACCCGCAGAUGUGCCGGGAUGGGAUUAGCUAGUUGGUGGGGUAACGGAUCACCAAGGCGACGAUCCCUAGCUGGGUGGUGAGGAUGACCAGCCACACUGGAACUGAGACACGGUCCAGACUCUAACGGGAGGGUGCAGUGGAGAAUAUUGCACAAUGGGAGGAAGCCUAAUGCAGCCCUGCCGCGUGUAGGAAGAAGGGCUGCGGGUUUUAAAGUACAUUCAGCGGUGAGUCGUUACCAGAAGAAGAAGCACCGGCUAACUCCGUGCCAGCAGCCGCGGUAAUUC